rnacentral:rRNA from 1 species
GGCCUUUGGGUUGUAAACCCCUUUUCUCAGGGAAGAUAAUGACGGUACCUGCUGACAGUCCCCGGCUAAUCACCUGCCACCAACCCCGGUAAUACGUCGGCGGCAAGCGUUGUUAGGAGUUACUGGGCGUAAAGGGUGCGUAGGCGGUUCUCCAAGUUUGGUGUGAAAUCUCCCGGCUCAACUGGGAGGGUGCGCUUCGGCUGGCGGGCUUGACUGUGGGACAGGAGAAUGGAAUUCCCGGAGUGAAUUUGAAAUGUAUCGAUGAAAUGAGGAACACCUGUGGUGAACACCGCUGGCUGGAGCACUCUUGACGCUGAUACACGAAACCCAGGGAAGCAAACUAGAUUAGAUAAUGUGGUAAUCCACCCCCUUAAUCAUGCCCGUUUGGUGUGGAUACUACGUGUUGUCUGUGUCGAACCUGACACUGCCAAAACUAACCCUGUGGAUAUCCCGCCCGGGGAGUACACACGCAAGUGUU